CACACAUUUCCCCGAAUGGUGUCCCGUAAGGGUAAAGGAUUAUUCGCUGGAAGCGACUGCUAAUUCAGCUAGGUUGGUGAGGUAUUGCUCAACCAUGCCUACGACGUUUAGGGGACUUGAGAGGGUGACCCCCAACCGAUGAAGACUGAGACACGGCUCAUACCUACGGGGGCGCAGCCGAGAAUAUCGACAAUGGGCGAAAGCCUGAUCGAGCGAUACCGCGUGGUGGAUGAAGCGCUUCGGCGCGUAAACACUUUUAUGAGGGAAGAAGUUAUUGACAUUACCUCAUGAAUAAGGGGCUCCUAACUCUGUGCCAGCAGGAGCGGUAAUACAGAGGCCCCAAGCGUUACCCGGGAAUUAUUGGGCGUAAAGAGUGCGUAGGUGGUCGUGUUAGUCGUCUGUCAAAGCCCUCGGCUCAACCGAGGACAUGCGGGCGAAACGGCACGACUUGAGGGCGUGAGAGGUACAUGGAACUCAUGGUGUAGGGGUGAAAUCCGUUGAUAUCAUGGGGAACACCGAAAGCGAAGGCAAUGUACUGGCGCGUUCCUGACACUCAAGCACGAAAGCGUGGGUAGCGAACGGGAUUAGAUACCCCGGUAGUCCACGCCCUAAACUAUGUCCGCUGGCUUUAGGGAGUAUCGACCCUCUCUGAGGCGAAGCUAACGCGUUAAGCGGACCGCCUGGGUAGUACGAUCGCAAGAUUAAAACUCAAAGGAAUAGACGGGAGCUUGCACAAGUGGUGGAGCGUGUGGCUUAAUUCGUCGCUAAGCGAAGAACCUUACCAGGGCUAGAAAUCCUACUGCACGCCUAGCGAAAGCUAGGAAGCCUUCGAGGGUGUAGGACAGGUGAUGCAUGGCUGUCGUCAGUUCGUGGUUUGAAUCGUUCCCUUCAGUGGGGUAACGAACGCAACCUUCGUUGCCUGUUACACGUAUCAGGCGAGACUGCCCCCUCACGGGGGAGGAAGGUGGAGAUGACGCCAAGUCAGCAUGUCCCUCUGAUGUCCUGGGCUGCACACGCGCUACAAUCGCCGUUACAACGAGGCGCAAUAGGGUAACCCGGAGCAAAUCUUUCAAAAGCGGCGCCAGUUCGGAUUGGGGUCUGCAACCCGACCCCAUGAAGCCGGAAUCACUAGUAAUCGCGGGUCAGCCACACCGCGGUGAAUACGUUUUCAAGCUUUGUACACACCGCCCG
rnacentral:rRNA from 1 species